rnacentral:snoRNA from 1 species
GCAUGCUCCAUACCAACCUUUUAAAGCGAUCCUUUGGGCGCAAUUUUGAAGGGUUCAUUUACAGUAUGCCAGAGCAUUUGGGUGAUAGGGUGUUCAUGUAGCCUACUUCCAUGGCUAUCUUUGGCCAAUCAUCACUUGGACAGAU